ensembl:lncRNA
GAAGGAACUUUAAAUCCCGUCCACGGCCGUCAGUCCCAAACUCACAGAGAUCUUCGAAAAGCAGACGCCAGCAAGGCGGAGCCUAAAGGUGCCUCAACUCGCACACGACUUAUCUUUCACAGGCUGUUCUCGUUUACUCGUUCUGCACAAAACAAACAAAACGCAGAAGCAGUGGACACCCCCGACACCAAUCAGGAGUCGGGAAUGUCAGCAUGCCCCGCCCUCAGCUGUUUCCUGCCACUGCAGCUCAAACUGGUUUGAACCUGAUCUCAGAUUAAAGAUGGUGCGAUCACACACAGCUGGCUGAUGAUGAAGUGUGAAAGAAGGAGCAAACCCUGCAGAUGUUCUCAGCAGGUUUACAAAGAUGGCCUCCAGCUGCUUUUAAUCGACACCAGCGAGAGCAGACGUCAGGCUCGCAGGAAGGAAACCUUCUGUGGCGCUCGCCCUCAAAGGCCAAGCCAGAAUCUCCCAGGCGACCCUGAAGCUGACGAGGAGCUUCAGGUAGAAACGGCAGACACACUCACCUUUCAGCUCGGAGCGAUGACAGAGAUAGGAGCGCUUCCACUCGCCGGUGCCUGUCAGACGGGCUUCAGGGCUGCUGCUCUGCCAGUUGUGAGGCGCUGCUCAGACUGACUAAUGUCAGAGGGAAAUGCAAAACACAAAGAAAAGAAUGGACCUCGUAAAGACACCAGUGUGGCCCGCUGAACAUCUUUGGAAAAUGCAUGUGAUGACAUCAAUGUGUGAGUUUUGACUGUAUCGCACAGCUUUUAGUUUUCCUCACAGAUUACCCCCCCCACCAGCGCUCACAUUAACUGUGAUCCACACUAACACGAAGGGCGGCCUCACUGGUUCAGCCCAAUGGAGGUGGAAGUGGGCUGUAUGUGGGUUAGUGAGGUUUGCACACGUGUCACUGACCUGCUUACUUUUCAGGUGCAGCGAGGUCAGCCACUAAACCUGAGCGAAAGCAAACAUUUGAGCUGCUGAAAGAAAAAAAACAACUUACAAAUUAAAAUAUCUGUGUCACAGGCUGGGUCUCUGACCCAGCGCUCUGAGUUCAUUUUGUAUUUGUCUCAUUUUAGAUAUGUGAUUAGUUUGUGUCAUUCCUAUUUAGCUUUAGUUAAGGAAAGGCAGUUAUUAUUUAUUGUUUCCUUGGUUUCUAUGUUUGAGUUCUUGUAUCGUUCAUCACGUGUUAGGUCUGUUAAGCUUGUGUUGUCAUGUCUAGUUUCAGUGUUUCCUGUUUUAUUUUGAAGGAGUCGUGUGUUCUUUGUUCAUUGUAUUUAGUUUCACUUCCCCUGUCCUGUCAUUAGGUUCAUGUCAGUCAGCUGUUCCUCCAUGUGUUCCCACUUCCCCUAAUCACCUCCUGUGUAUUUAAGUCCUGUGUUUUCAAUGUGUCAUUGUCAGAUCGUCUGCUUUGUUUGCAAGCCAAGAAGUUGCGUCAAGUUUCCUCAUGUCAAGUCCAUGUUCCUGUUGUAGGUUUUUAAGUUAAUUUAGCUCACCCAGUUUAGUUUAUUGUUAGCCUUGCAUUUUGCCUUUUGUUUACAGUUAUUUUGCCAGCCUCAAUAAACGGCUCGUUUUCUGUUAUUCAAGUCAUGUUUCACAUUUUGUUUCCGUCUGCAUUUGGGUCCACCCUUCACUCUACACACAGUCAGCCCUGCUGAUUGUGACAAUCUGAAAAGAAAUAAUUUCUAUUUUCAGUUUCAGUUUUAUUUAUACAGGACUAAAUCACAACAACGGUCACCUCAAGGUGCUUUAUACUGUAAUGUAGACCCUACAAUGAUACAUACAGAGAAAAACCCAACAAUCAAAUGACCCCCUAUGAGCAGCACUUUUGCGACAGUGGGAAGGAAAAACUCCCUUUUAACAGGAAGAAACCUCUGGCAGAACUUAAACAAAGCAAAUACAAAACAUUUGAAGGUGUUUUCAGGAACAGCAGCCUCAUAGGGGCCGCUGUGAGGAAACGCCCUGACAAACACGGCGAUGUUUGAAACGACUGACGCUGACAGGAAACGGUGCAAAAGCUGAAACGAACCCACCAAUGAACUGAAAGACUGUGGAGAGCCUUGGCCCAGCAGCCUCCAUGCUGCUGCUUUCAAAUGUCUCUCUGAGGACUUUAGCUUCGAGUUUCGUGGAUUUCACAACCUGAAACACAGUCCGUCUCUGAGUGCUCACUCAGAGACAACAUCUUUCACGUGGAACAGUGGAACGCAUUUCACAAACGGAUUUUGUUACACGGGCAUUUUGUCGUACUACAGGCAAAUUAUUGCCAUUAAGUGCCUUUGUAACUUGAAUUUUUCAUUAAAUGCGGUCUUCAUAAGCCGGGGUUCCACUGUACUGGUGAUGGGUCGGUCGCAAACGAAAUGGCUCUUAGAGCCGACACUUUGAAGUGAAUGAUGUGAGCCGGAUUCUUAUAGAGAUUGACGGACCACGUGACUUUCGCACAUUGCUUUGUGGGUACCCGUGGCAACAAAAUCAAAACACUGCAUCAAGCGCUAGUAUUUCCAGCACCGGUAAUCAUUAAUUCUGCGGUUUUAAUCCCUACUUGCAUUUUAUUUGCCCCAAAAACAGUUCUGUACAAAACGACGGAGAACACGGCAGGUCUGUACAAAGACAGACGUAAAUGGCCUGUAUUUAUAUAGCGCUUUACUAGUCCCUAAGGACCCCAAAGCGCUUUACACAUCCAGUCAUCCACCCAUUCACUCACACACUGGUGAUGGCAGCUACAUUGUAGCCACAGCCACCCUGGGGCGCACUGACAGAGGCGAGGCUGCCGGACACUGGCGCCACCGGGCCCUCUGACCACCACCAGUAGGCAACGGGUUAAGUGUCUUGCCCAAGGACACAACGACCGAGACUGUCCAAGCCGGGGCUCGAACCGGCAACCUUCCGAUUACAAGGCGAACUCCCAACUCUUGAGUUACUAUUAUAUGGUCCUAAUUGUGAGUGCAUACACUCACAAAAUGUUUAGUAACUUCAGAUCCCUGCAACAAGCCCAGGUCCAGUUUACUUUGGUGAUUUGGACUAUUCCAUCUCACAGCUGUUGUUACAGGACAACGCGUCUAUUUGUUGUUUCAGGUUGUAAUAUUACACAACAUUUUCAGAUGUAAUAGAAAUAAAAUGAGUGUUUCGUAAUUCAUUCAAUUUAUUGUCUUUAUUUAUAACUGGCAUUAUUGUUUCAUUCUAUUAUAGAAUCUUACAAGAAAGAGGCAAAAUUGUAUUUCAUCAGCUUUAUUAGCUGCUUCGGUGAAAAACAAAUCAACAAUGAAAAAAACAAAACAAAACAACAUUGCAAAACAACAUACUGGAAAACAGUUAUUCAUCACUUGAUUGCUUCAAUACAACACUUGGGCACAUAUAUGCGGGACGCUUCGUGGCUGUUUUGAUAGCGCUCUCUCUCUUAACCAAUCAAAUCUCACUAAUCAACAUAAGACUUAUUUGUAACCUAAAUCAACAAUUAUGUUAUGAUAAAUGAUAAAUUACGUAAUAACUACAACAGAAAACUGACCUUUGUGGAAAUACUUGGAGCAGACUAACAUGUGAGCUGGAGUGUUCUGGGACAUUAUAUUUGGUCUGCAAUCCAGGCCAUCCGUCAUGUUCAUGUUCAAGCCAUGAAACAUGGCUUGAACAAUUUCUCUUCAACGAUGUAAUCCGAUUACAACCGAUUUCUUUACCCGUCGGCUUCCUGUGGCUGUCAUGCGACCGGCUAUUGCAGUUAAUAAUACAACAGCUUCUUGCCAUUAUUUGUGUUUCUUUUUAUCGCUGUGUGACUGUUUUCAUGGGAAAGCCUGCGUGGGCUAGUACUGCUUGCCACUUGUUCCCAGAAUCCUUUGUGGUUUUACCCCGGAAUGACGUCACAUUUUCACUCUCUAUUGGGAGCCGUGUUUUUUUGCGCAGAGCAGAGACUGGAGGGGUGCAAACAGAGCCUUGCGUUUGGCAACAGCAGUAGCACACGAAAAGAGCAGGAGGGAGAGAGACAGAAAGAGAGCUGGGAGCAACAACAAGACACAACAUCGUUACAUUGGAAAGGUAUGUUAAAGAAAAUGAGUGACAUCAAGAAAAGAAGCAAAAUCUGGAACCAUUUAAAUUUUAUUGACACUAAAAGGCAGAGUGUAGAGUCUGCAAGAAAAGACUAUCAUAUAGAGCCGGCUCCACAAACAACCUGCACAGGCACCUGAGAACUGUCCACCCAUCAGUGCAAUGGAAAAAUAAAACACAGUCAGUUGAGUGUGAUAUUAAUAUUUCUAAAUGCCAACUUUUCCCUUAAUUAAAGACCUGGGCUUUCAUUUUUUUUCUUUGUGUUUUGCAUAUUUUAAUCAAUAUUUUAUUGUGUUGUGGUUUGCAGUAUCUUGUGUUGUUUCCUUUAAAUUUGUUUAAAAGGAAAAAUCUGAAACUUUAAAUAGUUAAAAGUUGAAUUGUACAUAGUUGCUUUUUGGAUUUUAUAAUUUUUUUUUUACAUUUUGUGAAUAAAUAAAAGACUAUUUAUAUAAUAAUCAGAAUCAGAAUCAGAAUACUUUAUUGAUCCCUGGGGGAAAUUAUUUUUUGUUACA